AUUAAUUACGUUUUUCUCAUGCAAUUAUCUAUCAGGCACAGAGGAUCCUGGGAAUGAAAUCCCUGUAUUCUUGUAUUGGAAACCCCAUGUAGGGGUCUAUGCAUAAAAGCCGUGUGGGGUAUGGAAUAAAUCAGUUGACUCCCAGAACUGUGUGUAGUCCAGUUACUGGGGGAAUACAUGUCUGCUUAUUUUAAUGGUUCCAGAGUGAAGAAAUUAGCGGAGGGUUACCC